UGUUUUUUACUUCAAAGCCUUCGGGCGUUAUAGGAUGAGUUUGCGGCGGAUUAGGCUGUUGGUGAGGUAAUGGCUCACCAAACCUGUGAUCCGUACGGGCUGUGAGAGCAGUAGCCCGGAGAAUGGUACUGAGACAAGGACCAUAGCCCUACGGGGUGCAGCAGGCGCGAAACCUCUGCAAUGCACGAAAGUGUGACAGGGGAACUCCAAGUGACUACUCUGUAGUCUUUUCUUAAGUUUAAAACGCUUGGGGAAUAAGGGCUGGGCAAGACCCGUGCCAGCCGCCGCGGUAACACGGGCAGCUCAAGUGGUGUUCACGAAUAUUGGGCUUAAAGCGUUCGUAGCCGGUUUUGUAAGUUUUUGGUGAAAGCCUAUGACUUAAUCAUGGGAAAUGCCAAAGAUACUGCGAGACUUGGGGCCGGGAGGGGUCGGAGGAAUUCUAAGGGUAGGAGUAAAAUCCUGUAAUCCUUAGAGGACCACCGGUGGCGAAGGCGUCCGACUGGAACGGGCCCGACGGUGAGGAACGAAAGCUAGGGGAGCAACCCGGAUUAGAUACCCGGUUAGUCCUAGCCGUAAAUGAUGUUGGUUUGGUGUAGCAUAACUCACGAGGUUGUGCUGUGCCGGAGGGAAACCGUUAAACCAACCGCCUGGGAAGUACGGUCGCAAGGCUGAAACUUAAAGGAAUUGGCGGGGGAGUACUACAAGGGGUGGAGGCUGCGGUUUAAUCGGAUACAACGCCGCACAACUCACCAGAAACGACAGCAGUAUGAUAGUCAGUCCGAAGGGCUUACUUGACGCGCUGAGAACUGGUGCAUGGCCACCGCCAGCUCGUGCCGUGAGGUGUCCUGUUAAGUCAGGCAACGAGCGAGAUCCGCACUUCCAGUUGCAAAUUGUUUUCUACGGAAGGCAGUGCACUCUGGAGGGACUGCCGUGGAUAACACGGAGGAAGGUGCGGGCGACGGUAGGUCCGUAUGCCGUGAAUUUUCUGGGCUACACGCGGCCUACAAUGGCAAGGACAAUAGGAUGCAACCCCGAAAGGGGAAGCCAAACCCUUAAACCUUGUCUAAGUCUGGAUCGAGGGUUGGGACUCACCCUCGUGAAAAUGGAAUCCCUAGUAAUCGCGUGUCAUUAUCGCGCGAUGAAUACGUCCCUUCUCCUUGCACACACCGCCCGUCAAACCAUCCGAGUAGGGUCUGGACGAGGCGUGAUCCUUUGGGUUGCGUCGAAUCUGGGCUUUGUGAGGAGGGUUAAGUCGUAACAAGGUA
rnacentral:rRNA from 1 species